rnacentral:lncRNA from 1 species
AUGGAGGCGCUGUGUCCCGACUCUCUGAGCUCCAGCUGCUCUCCCUCAGCAGGGGGCAGCUCCUCCAGCCGGCUGUUCUUCUUCUGUCUUUUCCAGGAGAACUGGACCAGAGGAGGAAACAUGGCUGAGGCCACACACAGCAGGGAGCUGUUCCCUCCAGGUGGGCUCUGGAUGCUGCUGGGUACACGCUCACCACGGGCUUCACUACCUGCUCAUCUGAAGUUUGACAGCAGCAACAAGCAGCACAGACACACAUUCACACAGUCAGCAGCAGCUUCCAGCACUGCACUGCAUUCAGUCUGAUCCUGGAAACUACAUGGACUCUGAUCACUAAACUACUCAUCAAUACAGCACAAAGUUCACUACAUACACUGGAUUCAGCUUCAUAUCAAACACAGUCAUCACCUCAUGUCAUCAUGGCUCACAUGUGGAACACUCAACAUGAUUUUUAAAAUCAAAUUAAAUUCCUUUCAGCUUCAUUUGUCAUGUGUUGCAUGUUAUUGUUUUAUAGAAACUUAAUUCAGUCCAAUUUUAAAAUAUAUAUAUUUGUCUUCAUACAAGUGAAAAUGUAUUUUUCUUAUUGGUCCUUAGACACGAGUUCUACAGAGAUACUCUUCUGUCCAAAGAUAAAUUCAUGUUUUUCAUAUUGUUUUGUACUAUUAAUAAAAUUACAUAUCAUUUCACAAAUUCAAUUCAGCAGAUAAAAUUUCCAUUCUUCUUGUCUUUGAUAUAUUUUACCAUAAACACCAUAUUUGUUUUUCAGACUAUUUAUUCUUAAAACUUUUUGUGUAAAAAUUGGAAAAGUAAUGCAGUGAUUAUUUUAAGUUAUGUUUUUAUUCAUAUAAAAACUGUAGCAAACAUUUUAAAACACUAAACUGAAAUGGUGAAUGAAACGUUUUCAUAAUACGAGAUAUACUUCAUGAUAUUUUAGUCAUAAAUACAAAUUAUAUGACAAAUUAUAUUUAAUAAAAUUCGUAUUGAAAGUAUUCUGAAAUUUAAGUAUUAUUAACUUUUUAUUGUCACGUACAAAUCCACACACACGACUUAAUCUCAGAAAUACAUAUCGGAGUUUAACAAUGUCAUAUUCAUCCUAAAUUUAUAUGUCAUAUCAUUUCUGAGUUUCCUAACCAGUAUCUGUUUUAUAAUUUUUUUUACCAGAAGACACUUUUUGAAGUAGCUACAUGAAUGUUUGACUAUUAAAAAAUUUGUUCUCAACAUAAAGCAAAUAUUUCCUGAACCAUAUUUGUUAAUUUAUAUUAAUUAAAUUUUAACAUCAAAUAUGAUCUUGUGUUCAAAAACCAGCAGAUGGUGCAGAAUUACUGAGAUGAUCAAAUCCUAAAUAUUUGUAACAUCACUAAUAUUUGAAGAAAUAAAGAAUAACUUUAGUUGUUCAGUGAGAUUUCAACAUGUUUUCAGAGAUUAUUGAGCUUUUCUUAUGUAACAAUGGCUGCAGAUGAAUUCUCUACUAAUGAUGAAAAAACUAACAUGUAAAGCCUGAAGCAGCAGAAACUGACUUUAAACACAUUUUCAGCUUCUACAAUAAAACAACUGAAGGAAAAUAAAUGUUUGUUCUUACCUGUUACAGACAGUUUAGUUCCAGAGCCCAAGAUGGAGUAACCGCAUCCCACAGUGAGACAGACUGCUACAAAAACCUGUCUGCUGUUGAAUGUGUCAGCUGAGGUGAAUGAGUCCAAAUGAGGAAGCAGGAUCAUAUUUCAGCUCCAUGAUGUGUUUCUCUAAUGUUCAUAUCAACAUGACUGUCUCUCUUCUCUUUUCUUUUAGCCACACUAGCAGCACGGCUCUGAUGUUAAUGUCAGUCUGUGGUCAGUCCACUACUUUAGUCCACAUGAAAAUAGAAAUCACUAUAUAAGCACCAGUCCAUUUAUCCCAUCAAUGAUACCACCACUACAAUGAAACGUGCUGCUGAUAGUAUCAUGGUUUGGCCCAUCUGGCUCACCAUCAUUAAUCACACAAUCAAUUUUGAAUUAUAGCAGCAAAUUCUAAAGAAAACUAUCAGAACAUCUGUCUGUGAACUGAAUCUCAGGAGAAGUGGGCCAUGCAGCACCACAAUGACACAAACCAGUCACGUUUGUUUUCUUUGUUCCAAUAAUGGUGAAAGAAAAUAAUCCAGUGAAUCCAGCGAGUGAUGUGAUGAGUCUCUGAUGUCUUUCUGAUGUGUUUUGUUGCGUCUUCAAACCAACCUGGUGUAUUUUAGAAGUGAACAUGUUAGUCUGCACAGCUCUUCUAUUUUCAACACUGACAGGAUUCCUUUGCUGUUUCUUCUGUCCUGCA